rnacentral:rRNA from 1 species
UGGGGAAUAUUGGGCAAUGGGCGCAAGCCUGACCCAGCAACGCCGCGUGAAGGAAGAAGGCUUUCGGGUUGUAAACUUCUUUUAAGAGGGACGAAACAAAUGACGGUACCUCUUGAACAAGCCACGGCUAACUACGUGCCAGCAGCCGCGGUAAUACGUAGGUGGCAAGCGUUAUCCGGAUUUAUUGGGUGUAAAGGGCGUGUAGGCGGGACUGCAAGUCAGAUGUGAAAACUCAGGGCUCAACCCUGAGCCUGCAUUUGAAACUGUAGUUCUUGAGUGCUGGAGAGGCAAUCGGAAUUCCGUGUGUAGCGGUGAAAUGCGUAGAUAUACGGAGGAACACCAGUGGCGAAGGCGGAUUGCUGGACAGUAACUGACGCUGAGGCGCGAAAGCGUGGGGAGCAAACAGG